rnacentral:rRNA from 1 species
AUUGAACGCUGGCGGCAUGCCUUACACAUGCAAGUCGAACGGCAGCGGACCUUCGGGUGCCGGCGAGUGGCGAACGGGUGAGUAAUGCAUCGGAACGUACCUUUCAGUGGGGGAUAACGUAGCGAAAGUUACGCUAAUACCGCAUAUUCUGUGAGCAGGAAAGCAGGGGAUCGCAAGACCUUGCGCUGAUUGAGCGGCCGAUGUCAGAUUAGCUAGUUGGUGAGGUAAAGGCUCACCAAGGCGACGAUCUGUAGCGGGUCUGAGAGGAUGAUCCGCCACACUGGAACUAAGACACGGUCCAGACUCCUACGGGAGGCAGCAGUGGGGAAUUUUGGACAAUGGGGGCAACCCUGAUUCAGCCAUGCCGCGUGAGUGAAGAAGGCCUUCGGGUUGUAAAGCUCUUUCGGCCGGGAAGAAAUCGCACGGGCUAAUACCCUGUGUGGAUGACGGUACCGGAAUAAGAAGCACCGGCUAACUACGUGCCAGCCGCCGCCGUAACAC